GAGAGGAAGGGAGGUCUAACAUGAGAGCAAGAGCCUAGUUUGGUAGCCAAGGAUGACUUGCCUGCUCUACCAGAGAGAUCAAUUCUCCAUUGGUGUAACUUUGUUGGAUUGGAAGCUUCUGUUUGGCCAGGCAGUCAUCCAGGCUAAACUGACAGGCUCUUCUUCCUCAUGCCAGGCCUUCCCUUCUUCC
rnacentral:pre_miRNA from 1 species